rnacentral:rRNA from 1 species
GAUGAACGCUGGCGGCGUGCCUAAUACAUGCAAGUCGAGCGAACAGACGAGGAGCUUGCUCCUCUGACGUUAGCGGCGGACGGGUGAGUAACACGUGGAUAACCUACCUAUAGGACUGGGAUAACUUCGGGAAACCGGAGCUAAUACCGGAUAAUAUAUUGAACCGCGUGGUUCAAUAGUGAAAGACGGUUUUGCUGUCACUUAUAGAUGGAUCCGCGCCGCAUUAGCUAGUUGGUAAGGUAACGGCUUACCAAGGCGACGAUGCGUAGCCGACCUGAGAGGGUGAUCGGCCACACUGGAACUGAGACACGGUCCAGACUCCUACGGGAGGCAGCAGUAGGGAAUCUUCCGCAAUGGGCGAAAGCCUGACGGAGCAACGCCGCGUGAGUGAUGAAGGUCUUCGGAUCGUAAAACUCUGUUAUUAGGGAAGAACAAAUGUGUAAGUAACUAUGCACGUCUUGACGGUACCUAAUCAGAAAGCCACGGCUAACUACGUG